AUUUAGCUGAAGAGUCACAAAUAAGACGAAACGGCUGUCCUGGAU
rnacentral:hammerhead_ribozyme from 1 species